CAUUCUCCAGUUCAAUUAAACUAGCAUUAUCACAGAGCUAACUCGGGCCACCGGCAGCACCAGUCACAACAGUUUCGAAAGUAGCUGGUGCUGCUGUUGCUAGCAGUGAGAUGUGACCUGAGAGCAGAUGGGAUGGCAUUUUACGAAGGUCAGCGGGGCAUCAGAGCUGCCAUCAAUAUGCUCCUGGCAAGAAUUACGGUGUCUUGAUUGCUGACCGAAAAAAGAGGUGAUGAAGCAUUCUGUCUUUUUAUAAUCAACUGAUCAGAUCAUGAGAUGUGUACGGAUUGAUGGUGACCUAAAACUCGUUCGGUGGGAAGCGGACGCUGAGAUGGGUAUCAGCAGUCAGCGUGAGCUCUCGCCAUCGACACCUGUACCGGACUGAAGGAGGCAGAUCUGACUGGCAGGAGCGAGACCCUGAAUGAUAGAGAACACAAGCAGGGGGAGCAGCAGGUAGAGGAAGAAAGAGAACCAGCCUCCCCACUGAGCUGAGAGCCCAAUGUAGCACUCUGAUCCCAGGACCCCAGGAUCAUGACCUGAGCUGAAAGCACACUCUUAACCUACUGAGCCACCCAGGCAUCCCACAUUUAGGUCUUUGGUCCAUUUUGAGGAAAAUACUUUGAUGCAAAUUCCUAAACAUAUCAGGUUUAUUUUGAAGCCUAACAAUAUGUUUAUUUGCUGAGACUAAAUCAGUGAACAAGGCUGGCUGCCUGGAUCCCCCAGCCUGACUUGGAGCCUGGAUUACCAGUGAAAUGACCCCUAAUAGGCUCCAGUACAGCAGCUCCACCCAGGUGCAGCACACAGCAGCUGGCAGCAUCCCUGGUAAGACUGGAGAAGGGAAUGGUGUCCUUGACAGUGGGGCAGUCUUUAGCCCAGCAAAGCCCAGCAAGUACGAGCUCCUACUGGGUUCCAGUAGGAUGGACUCCAGCAGGUGCUGUCCUCGGACUCUCCAUAAGGACUGACUGCCCUAAGCACUGGCCAGUUUUUAAGAAACAGGCUUCAGUUUCCAAAAGGCUGUGCCCUGAAGAGCAACUCCCCUCCAGGCUGUCCUGCUGUGGGCCGGCCUCACCUCACCUCACGAGAGGCUUCCCUUUUGCAUCCUGGUUUUGGUUAUCAAAAUAGAGGUCUGCCUUUGCAGAUACUAUUAUUGACCCUGAAAACUGCUUAUCUCAAAAUAACUUACAUCCGUUACUUUCCUAGGGCACCUCUAUGGGGAAUCCCAUGCAUAUUGGUCACAAAAGGCAUUGUGCAAUGUCUUCCAAGGUUUUCUCAUCUAUGAAGAGCUUUUGUAUCUUCGUGGUGUUGUAGUUUUCAUUUUAUCAAUAUUAGCUUGAUUUUUUUAAAAAUUGCAAUACUUGUGUGCCCAGUGACUGAACUUAAAUGUUCAGGACAUUUCGACCAUAUCUGGAGUGUUGGCAAGCCUAUGUCCACAGGUGCAUCCUGUCUUCUCACUGGUGGGAUUACAAAACAUGUAAGACGUUUGUGACUAGCAAGCCCCACUUUCAUUGUGUGUCCCUGUAUCCCGUGUUCUUCACUUAUGGGACUUCUCCUGGGCAGAUGUGCGUUCUGAGCACAGGAAGGCCAUGCCCCUACUGUUUUCCGAGCGGGAAGGCAAGUACACAAGGAUCAGAGAGAACACAAGAGCAGUUCAUGAAGAACUGGGGUCUGUUUUGUAUCAAUAAUUUUAACCUGAAAUGUAAUGUCUCUUUGUUAUUUAUUUUACUCACAUUUGACCUAUUUCUAGCCCUAUCUGGAAAUUAAAACCCAUAAUUUAUGUCACUUAUUAUAUACCAAUUCAAUCGGUAUGUUUUUAAAGAGGCAUAAUAUAAAACCAUUUCUGUAUCAGCAGAGCAAGUUGCAAUGGCACCACUCACGGCAUGUUGACAAAUCUCUUCUGUGGAAAUUUUCUUGAAAACCUUCAUUUUCACGAGUGCAGUUAUGACACGAUCCUUGUUUUAGUAUAUGUGCUGCCGAAGCGAGCACGACACGAUCCUUGUUUUGUUUAAAGGAAGAAAAAGCACUGUGGGGUGUGAAUGGAUUAUUCCUCGUUGUCAAGACUGUUUCAAAGUCCCCAUGGGGCCAGCCCAUCUCUGAGCUGCUGUGAAGGCUGCAGCCACUUCUGGAAGGAGCAGGGUUUUCUGUGAUGAGACAGAGGAGAAGGCCCGCCAUCGCCAGGGCUGCUUGGGCUGAAAAGGUGAAUUUUGAAUACGGUCAGAGGAAGCUUCUGGCACCAGCAUCACGCGCAUGUGCACGCACCAUCCAGCUUGGGGGGAUCCUUUUCUGGUAAAACUCCUGUGCGCCCAGUCCCUGGAGCUGGCGGGGCCGUCCCUCCCCCUUAGCCCAGGGUCCUGUGGUAUUGGAGAUGCCACCGCCGCUCCCUGCGCCAUUUCCUGGUGAUGGGAAAAACAAAACCCCAAAACCAAAACGGUUAUUUUUGAUUGUUCCUUAUCAGAAAUUUCUAAUGUUUUAGGAACUAAGAAAACUUUGUCUCCCCAUAAAGAGUUGUCAUGAUUCCCUGAAAGUCCGUUGGACCAGGAUUUAAACUCUCAAGUCACCACAAGAGUUCGGGCGCCUAGGUGGCUCAGUGGGUUAAGCUGCUGCCUUCGGCUCGGGUCGUGAUCUCAGGGUCCUGGGAUCGAGUCCCGCAUCGGGCUCUCUGCUCAGCAGGGAGCCUGCUUCCCCCCCUCUCUCUCUGGCUGCCUCUCCGUCUACUUGUGAUUUCUCUCUGUCAAAUUAAUAAAUAAAAACUUAAAAAAAAAAAAAAA